rnacentral:lncRNA from 1 species
CUGGAAAAGCUCAUACUACUCUUACUUUCUUUUUUUCAUAGGCACCCGAUUUGUAGAGUCCAUCGGGUGGGACGAGAAAUGAGAUCAGCAUGGAGUCUAACUACUAGAUAGAUAGAAGUUAAUUUAUCUUUUGUUUAUGGACAUUGGAAAAUUAUGUAAUAAACCAGUACAUUUUGGUUGGAUUUGAUUUAAUUACAUUAAUCAUUGAUUUUGGCAUUUAUGAAAUUAUUGA